rnacentral:rRNA from 1 species
GCACGGAGUUAGCCGGUGCUUCCUUUGGAGGUACCGUCACUCCCCUUGCGGGGCAUUCGUCCCUCCCGACAGUGGUUUACAACCCGAUGGCCGUCAUCCCACACGCGGCGUCGCUGCGUCAGGCUUUCGCCCAUUGCGCAAUAUUCCCCACUGCUGCCUCCCGUAGGAGUCUGGGCCGUGUCUCAGUCCCAAUGUGGCUGGCCAUCCUCUCAGACCAGCUACCCGUCGUCGCCUUGGUGGGCCAUUACCCCACCAACUAGCUGAUAGGCCGCGAGGCACUCUUUCGGCGCAUUGCUGCUUUCACCAACCGGGGAUGUCCCCGAAAGGUCGUACGCGGUAUUACCCGGCCGUUGGGCCGGCUAUCCCCCACCGAAAGUCAUGUUCCUCACGUGUUACGCACCCGUCCGCCACUGAACCGGAGUUGCCCCCGGUCCCGUUCGACUUGCAUGUGUUAGGCACGCCGCCAGCGUUCGUC